GGCUACGUAGCUCAGUAGGUUAGAGCAUAGCAUUCAUAACGCUAGGGUCACAGGUUCAAAUCCUGUCGUAGCCA
rnacentral:tRNA from 1 species